rnacentral:rRNA from 1 species
AGCGAACGCUGGCGGCAGGCCUAACACAUGCAAGUCGAACGAACCUUUCGGGGUUAGUGGCGGACGGGUGAGUAACACGUGGGAACGUGCCUUUAGGUUCGGAAUAACUCAGGGAAACUUGUGCUAAUACCGAAUGUGCCCUUCGGGGGAAAGAUUUAUCGCCUUUAGAGCGGCCCGCGUCUGAUUAGCUAGUUGGUUGAGGUAAUGGCUCACCAAGGCGACGAUCAGUAGCUGGUCUGAGAGGAUGAUCAGCCACAUUGGGACUGAGACACGGCCCAAACUCCUACGGGAGGCAGCAGUGGGGAAUCGUGCGAAAUGGGCGAAAGCCUGACGCAGCCAUGCCGCGUGAAUGAUGAAGGUCUUAGGAUUGUAAAAUUCUUUCACCGGGGACGAUAAUGACGGUACCCGGAGAAGAAGCCCCGGCUAACUUCGUG